GAGCAAACAGGAUUAGAUACCUGGUAGUCCACGCUGUAAACGAUGAAUACUAGGUGUGGGCAUGCAAGGCAUGUCCGUGCCCAGCUAACGCAAUAAGUAUUCCACCUGGGGAGUACGUUCGCAAGAAUGAAACUCAAAGGAUUGACGGGGACCCGCACAAGCGGUGGAGCAUGUGGUUUAAUUCGAAGCAACGCGAAGAACUUACCAGGCCUUGACAUCGUGAUGACCGUCCCUUAAUCGGGGCUUCCCUUCGGGGCAUCAAGACAGGUGGUGCAUGGUUGUCGUCAGCUCGUGUCGUGAGAUGUUGGGUUAAGUCCCGCACGAGCGCAACCCCUGCCUGUAGUAGCCAGCACGUAAUGGUGGGCACUCUACAGGGACUGCGGGGUCAACCCGGAGGAAGGUGGGGAUGACGUCAAAUCAUCAUGCCCCUUACGGCCUGGGGACACACGUGCUACAAUGGCACAACAAAGAGAAGCGAUCCCGCGAGGGGGAGCAAACCUCAAAAUAGUGUCCCAGUUCGGACUGUAGUCUGCAACCCGACUACACGAAGCCGGAAUCGCUGUAAUCGCGGAUCAGAAUGCCGCGGUGAAUACGUUCCCGGGUCUUGCACACACCGCCCGU
rnacentral:rRNA from 1 species